GCAGGCACUGGUAUGCCCGUACCGGGGUGUCUCGCCCACAACCCACCACUGUGCAAGGGGAACCUUUAUUAUCUACUAUCUAGUUAAUAUCAUCUAGACAUUACUUCCCAAUUUGUUUAAAUUGUUGGUUUUGACAGGCUGUUCUUCUGACUGUUAGGCCAUAGCUCAAGAUGGACUUUGUCAGAACAUUAUGAUUAAUAAGAGAAGACUGAAGGCGGUGGGAUCUAGAUAAAACUAAUUUCUAUGUUGUUCCAAUAUAUGGAAUGCAGACUUAGAAUUAUCAGCAGCUCUGUCCCACAUUUCUCCAGUUUUCGGGAAAGAUCCUAGCAUCUUCAUAACACUUUAGUUUAACAAAGUGCUAUUACUUUAUUUUGUAUUGUUAGUGAACUUUAAUGUAGAAAUAAUGGUAAAACAACUAAGCAACAGGCAUAUUUGUUGUUGUACUAAUGAGUAAAAAAAAAAAUCAGGUAUUGCUAAUAGCUGUUUUUUUUCUUUGUAGGACUUUUCCAAGGAAUUAGAAGCCGUGUUAAAAAUAUUCAUUUCCAAAACUCACACUACAGAGCCAAAGACUUUUGCUUGUGAUUUAGGAUCGCAGCCAAGAGAAACAGUUGCAGCCCAAAGUUAGCUGAAUUGCCAUGUUUAAAAAUUAUUGGGGUUGCAUAUAAAUGCCUUGACAAAAUUGCACUCAGAAUUAGUAUGGAUCUUGUCCUCAAAGAUGAUGUCUCUCCAGUGCACUGUAUUGGAGGACAAGGAAAAAGCCAAGUCGAGCACCUUAAUUAGAACUGCAGGAACAAAACUCCUUUUGUAUAAAAUGUGUGGCUUCCAAGUUCCAGAAUCUUUACAGAAGACGGCUCUACAAUCUUGCCAAUGGAAAAGGCUGAGAAAAGGAUUGACCCAACUUUACUUUGAUAUGAGACUUAAUUUCCUAUGGAGUGUAUCUCUUCCUUUCUCUUUUUCUUGCACUAUAGUAAUGUAGUUUUCUUCUGGAAACCUGCUUGUUUUAUUAUUAAAGAUAAUGGGUGAAAUUA